AACUAACGCUGGCGGCGUGCCUAACACAUGCAAGUCGUACGAGAAAGUUGGCUUCGGCCGAUGAGUAAAGUGGCGCACGGGUGAGUAAUGCGUGGAUAAUCUGCCCUUUAGUUGGGAAUAACGUACCGAAAGGUGCGCUAAUACCUGAUAAUACUGCAUAACUACUGUUGUGUAGUCAAAGAAGGCCUCUGUUUACAAGCUUUUGCUGAAGGAUGAGUCCGCGUACCAUUAGCUGGUUGGUGGGGUAAUGGCCUACCAAGGCUACGAUGGUUAGCUGGUCUGAGAGGAUGAUCAGCCACACUGGAACUGAGACACGGUCCAGACUCCUACGGGAGGCAGCAGUGAGGAAUAUUGCGCAAUGGGGGCAACCCUGACGCAGCAACGCCGCGUGAGUGAGGAAGGUUUUCGGACCGUAAAGCUCUGUCGAGCGGGAAGAAAUGUAUCAUGGCUAAUAUCCAUGAUACUUGACGGUACCGCGUAAAGGAAGCACC
rnacentral:rRNA from 1 species